GACGAACGCUGGCGGCGUGCCUAAUACAUGCAAGUAGAACGCAGUUGCGAACGGGUGAGUAACGCGUAGGUAACUGCCUGGUAGCGGGGGAUAACUAUUGGAAACGAUAGCUAAUACCGCAUACUACCAGAUGGACCUGCGUUGUAUUAGCUGGUUGGCGGGGUAAAGGCCCACCAAGGCGACGAUCCGUAGCGGGUCUGGGAGGAUGAUCCGCCACACUGGGACUGAGACACGGCCCAGCCUCCUACGUGAGGCAGCAGUGGGGAAUUUUGGACAAUGGGCGCAAGCCUGAUCCAGCCAUGCCGCGUGUCUGAAGAAGGCCUUCGGGUUGUAAAGGACUUUUGUCAGGGAAGCGGUACCUGAAGAAUAAGCACCGGCUAACUACGUGCCAGCAGCCGCGGUAAUUC
rnacentral:rRNA from 1 species